GUCCGAGCGGAGAAAGCGCGACCACGCCCUGACAGCGGCGCCAGGCAGCUGGAAUGUGAGCGAGGAAAGUUGUCCCGGUUGUUAGCCCGUUGUUGCACGGAGCGAGCCGCUCCCUCCCCCCACCCUGCCUCCUGCAGACACGGAGACCAGGCGUGGAGCUGCCAUUCGCCGGACCAGCGGCCUCGAAGACAGCUGCAGGAAAAAAAAUGUCAUCAGCUGCUAUGUUCUUGUUCGUGGUGCUGUUCACAUCUGCUUGUCUGCUAGCAGAAGCUCAGCAAGCUCAACCUGUGGCUGGUCAGACAGUGUACGACGAAAUCGUAGUGGAGUCCACGCUGUUUGUGAAAGGCAAGUCAGGUACAGGAAGACAGGGGAAAUCAAGGACUCUGGAGUCAGUCUCGACAGACAACAGCACCCCGCUGGUCGACAGGCCCAAGCGCGAUGUCCAGCAAUUUAAUAAGGCAAAGGUUUCGGAAAUAAAUGAUGAGGCUUGGAAUAAUCAAGAAGUGAAUGGCAGAAUUUUCAGUGCCAGCCACAGGUUAAGUAUCGGUGGACCAGAAGUAUAAGCUGAAAAUAUCCACAGCAACUCACCGAAAAGUUUCUCUAAUAACUACCUGUUUGCCUAAGUCUUUGCUCUUUUAUAUGUUAAAAGUCACUAUAUGCGCUAACUUGACAAAUUUGAUCAAAACAAGUCUUACCCUCAGCAUAAGUAUCAUUAAAUUUAAUGAAGUGCAUGCUGUACUUGUAUAUUUGAUUUGGAUUUUAGCAAAUUUGUUAAUUUACCAUUUUAUCUUGACUCUAUGUGAAUGUAAUAUACAUAUUUUGUGCUUUUGAAGGUAAUAUUGUAAUCAUUAUUUAAUUUUUUUUUAACCAUAAGAUAAAAAGCAUUUAUAAUAAUCUCUCUUGUAAAAUAAUGUAUUUUAUCAAUGUGAAAAGUUAAACCAUAUAACCAAAUUAAACUGAUUAAAAAUA